UUUUGGCUUAGCUUGAUGGCUCGUUGAGAGCUGAAGAAGCUGUUGCUGGGAGUGGUUACUCAGUGUCCUGAGGCUGAAGACUGAAACAGUUUGAAGUGCUGCUUAUUUAUGGAAGAUAUGAACAUUCUACUAAUAACAAAGUAGAGAGACUGUAUUGUUUGCAGUGUGUUUGCAUGUCAUUGUUUAAAGAAGGCUCACCGGAGAUAUUGUUUGUUAUACAUUGAAUGAUAUUGCAAUUUCAGCUCCAAAAAUUUGAAUAAAUAGAAAACAGCCAAUUUGGGAAUAGUGAGGGGAAAUGGAAAGAGGAGAAUCCUAUCACCAGAUGUCCCUUUACUCCUGGCAUGCAGGCACAGAAGAAAAUUGAACCCACAAAACUUAGGUAGGUGAUAGGAAUGUUGUGGGAUUGUGGGCUAUUGAUGGAUUUUUCCA
rnacentral:lncRNA from 11 species